GCCCGUAUAGUUCAAUGGAGAGAACAUGGUUCUUCUAAAGCUAUGAUCUUGGUUCGAUUCCAAGUAUGGGUA
rnacentral:tRNA from 1 species